rnacentral:tRNA from 1 species
GGGGCUGUGGCUCAGUAGUAGAGCACUUGCCUAGCAUGUGUGAGGCUCUGGGUUCAAUUCUCAGCACCA